GGCCUCUAUUAGCCAGAUUGGUCUGGGUAGCGGACCAGAAUGUACUGUGAGGGUUUUUGUUUUGCAUUGUUUUGGUUUUUGCUUUUUUCCUUUUGUUGUUGUUCACUGCAGCUCAGUCCCCUCUUUCUAAAAACACAAUGGCAAGUUAAAAAAAAAAAAUGCUUUCGUUCUCUUUACAGAUAAUGAGAUGGUAGGCUUCUCUAUAGUGUUCUCUAUAGGCUUCUCUAGAGUGUUCUCUCUGAGUUUUAGGAAUCAGUUCAUCGUUAUCUUAUUUUGUUUCUUGCAAAACUUCUCAGAUGUUACAAUGAUGUCAGAGUAUGUAGUUUCUUGGUCCUCUGCUAAUUUUCUGAAUUUGUUCUUGUAGCACCCUCAUACUAUCAUCAGUGACUUAAAAUGCCAUAUGUCUGGCAGAAAACAGCAAAGAACAGUGCCUGGAAAACCCCAUCUGCAGUGAGCCGAAUCUCAGGCUUCAGAAUAGGGUGUGAAGGAACAUUAUUCUUACAAAAUUAAUCUCUAUAAGCCUCUUCUCUACCAGGUUAACGGAAAAAUAAUUAUCCUGAACUCUUGCUGGACUCCUUUCGGGGGUAGCGGGGAAGGGCAUGUCCUCAGGAGCAAUGCACAGAGAGUAGGUUCUCAGCUCGCAUGGCUGCAGUGGGGGUGAGGGUGAGGAGUUGGGGUGGU
rnacentral:lncRNA from 1 species